AGCAGUCGCCGCGGUAAUACGAAGGGGGCUAGCGUUGCUCGGAAUGACUGGGCGUAAAGGGCGCGUAGGCGGCGAUCAAAGUCAGGCGUGAAAUUCCUGGGCUCAACCUGGGGGCUGCGUUUGAUACUUGAUUGCUAGAGUGGGGAAGAGGGUCGUGGAAUUCCCAGUGUAGAGGUGAAAUUCGUAGAUAUCGGGAGGAAUACCGAUGGCGAAGGCAGCCAUCUGGCCUAAUACUGACGCUGAGGUACGAAAGCAUGGGGAGCAAACAGGAUUAGAUACCCCCGUAGUCCCUGUCUCUUAUAA
rnacentral:rRNA from 1 species